GGGUGGAACAUUCUCGGCUGAAGCAUUUUUUUUGGAGGGGCUGGAACGUUUGAUUUUUGGGAAAAAGGGUAUCAUGCUCUUAGGAGAUUUUGGAUGAAUGAGAAAGAAGCAAAACACGUUUUUUAUCCUUCCAAUUUUCUGCAGCUACUGAUUUUAUAUUGCAAGGCAUGGAUUCGUUUUAUUUUAAAAAAAGAAAAUGUUGAUUUCACUUGAUGGAGAGCACACGGUCAAGAGAGCAAUGGACACCUAGCAUAGGGAACGCUGUUGUAGCUGUUUUCGUUUUAGACUUUGCUUUUAUUCCAACAUUUUUUUUGCAUUGCCUUUGUCUUUGAUUCCAUCCAAGUGACGUCUAGAAAAGCGCUGAUGGGUGUGCACGAAAUUCAUCUUCUUUUUGGAGAUCCACAUCUUCAUUUCUUUUUGAGGAGGGAAUUGUCACAUCCAACGUUGGGUAGUUGUAGGUGUAGCUAGGUUUUUCUUUUAUUUAUUUAUUUAAGCAAUGAAGAAGGUAAUUAGGUAGAAGUAGGUAGGUGUACAUUGAUGCUGGGAAUGAAAAGCAAGGCCACACAUGAUUCAAUUUUAUUGGAGCAAGGUGCUUUAAUUUGGUGAAGCAAAGCUCACUGUCUGGGCAUUUCUUUAAUUCCAAUU
rnacentral:lncRNA from 1 species